ensembl:snoRNA small nucleolar RNA SNORA28
AAGCAACACUCAGUGGCAGAUGAUGGAAACUGACACAAUUUGUGCUUGCUAUAGCAAGAAAAUCUAACCUAUUCUGGAGUUCUCUACUCGGUGAGACAAGCUGUUAUAUAGACUUAAAUAGU